GGUUUCUUGCUUCUGCAACUAGAGGAUAAAUCCAAAGGGAUCGCAUUGAUCCUAAGCCUUAAUUAUAAUUCUCAUACUUAAUGUUCAUGAGGAUCAUGCUAUCCCUUUGGAUUCCUCCUUCGGUAGCUCAUAUAUAAUCUCUA
rnacentral:pre_miRNA from 1 species